UUUUGUUCUAAUAUAAGUUGUAAAUUGUAGUUUGUGUUCGCGUCAUUACUAUCAACGUUUCAUCGGCCAUCCGAACACAAAAGAUGGAAUGCAAAUCAGACCAAAGCAACAAACCCGAAGAGUUCAGGCCACACAGUCCAUGCAAAAACAACCGAAACAUGCAACAUAAGCAAAAGCAAUCGUCACCGUCACCGAGAACACA